CCCUUAGAUGUCCGGGGCUGCACGCGCGCUACACUGAAGGAAUCAGCGUGCUAAAACCAUUGUCGAAAGGCAUUGGUAAACCCAUUAAAAUCCUACGUGAUUGCGAUCGGGAAUUGCAAUUAUUUCCCUUGAACGAGGAAUUCCCAGUAAGUGUGGGUCAUAAGCUCGCGUUGAUUACGUCCCUGCCCUUUGUACACACCGCCCGUCGCUGCCCGGGACUGAGCCGUUUCGAGAAAAGCGGGGACUGCUGCUGUCGGGGCUUUCGGGCCUUGGCUUCGGUGGAAACCGCUUUAAUCGCAGUGGCUUGAACCGGGCAAAAGUCGUAACA
rnacentral:rRNA from 1 species